UUAUUCUUAAGCAUCUAGUGUAGCUGCAUGCUUAACGUCGCACCCAUAAACCUUACGUAGGUGCCUGCCUUCACAGUUGACACAAACAAACGAGAAAUAACAGUGAGAUAUCGGAUGAUCGUCGUGACUUUCUAUUAAUAAUUAGUUCGCUACUCUGCAGUUCUUGCGGAUCUCGCCGUCGGAGGCCGUGAGCGGGAUGUUGCCCAUCUUGAUCAUGGACGAGGCGAAAUGGCAGAAGAAGUGCUCGCUGUCCUGGCUGUAGGUCUCCACCAGAGCUUUCGUCCUGGCGACGCCUUCCGGGCUGGAGAAGAGGCCCUGGUCGGAGGACAGGAGGCCCUUCUCCAGCAGGAGGUUCUUGUAGUAGGCGUUGUCGAACGCGUUGGGGGUGCUGACGUCCAGCGCCGAGGUCUGGUUGCCGUCGCCGCCCGCGCAGAGGCUCUGCAGGCUCUCGGCGAGGCCGGCGUCCAGCGUCGGGUCCACCGACUCCGUGGCCGAGAAGUUGGACAGGCGGUUGCUGAACAGCGCGCACCGGGCUCGCCCGAUCGUGUGGGCUCCUGUCCAUUAUUUUUAUUUUUCCAAGUUAAUGAGAUCACAUGCAUGCAUAUACAUGCA
rnacentral:misc_RNA from 1 species